UGACACGUGGAGCUGACAGAUACUAAUAGAUCGAGGACUUAACCUA
rnacentral:rRNA from 1 species